rnacentral:lncRNA from 1 species
GUGGAUCUGUCACACCAGCUGUCAGCUCUGAGGAUGUCUUUUGCCUGGCCCGUCUUAUUUUUUUUUAAGGUUAAAUAAGACACAGUGGGAAUAUUACAGAGCAGUAAACAUGAACCCGAACCAUGUACAACACCAGGGAUGGAUCUUAGCGACACAACAGGAAGCAUCUUAGUGACACAGCAGGAAGCAAGUCAGAGAAGAUUUCUUGCAGGCUGGCUGUCAUUUCUAUAAGGCUCAGGAGUAAACACCAACCUGGGAUUGUAUGGGGUGGGGGUGGGGGUGUGUGCAUUUGUGUCCAGGAUGCCUGGGGGAGGCCCAGUGAUCUUAUUGUGAUUCUCUGGCUGGGUCCUAGUUCACCGAUACUUGUUUUGUUGUUAGACUUAAGUAGCUACAUCUAUAUUAGUGAAUCUUUGUAUCAGCUCUUCCCAUGGGAGUGAGGAAAUGACUCCAGGUGGUGGUCCCUGGAUCCUUAAGAUCUUUCCUGGCUCUAAACUGUGGUUCUCCAGCCAAGCUGUCACGAUCGAGUUUCCGUUUUAGGGAGGUCACUCUAUCAGCUGAUUAUGUGGGAAAGAAUUAGGAACCCAAGGACCCAUCCCUACUCCUUCGGGGGCCACAUCUUAAGAGCCUGCAUCAUUCAGGAGAUGAAGCAGCUUCCUUACCCCUCCUCGGUGUCUGUCAGCCCCUUGUUUCAGAGAUGGGAGUGUGUUUGAGGGGGAGAAGAAGGGUUUUGUCGUUGCUGUCAUGGGGGCUGUUUUUGUCCCUCUUCAAAGCCUCUGAACAGAAACUUUUCCUGUAUCUGGUGGUGCUUUGAGGGGCCUGGAGCACCUGGAGAGGGAGCCUGUGGUUUCCAUGGGGCUGGCUGGCUGCCUCCCCCUUUCGGGGACAUGGGGCUCCCACAGAGAUGGUGUCCUGUGGCUCAGGUGAGAAGCUCGGGGUAAGAGGCCAGGUUGGCAGUGUCAGCCUGUAAGCUCUUAUUGGGCCAUCAGCCUUCUUCGCAUCUUCACUGUGGUUUAAUUGUUUGUGCUUCAUCAAGUGACUUUCAUAUAUGUUUAUAUAUGUAAAAAAAUGUUUAGGAGUUCCCAUCGUGGCUCAUGGGUUAAGGAUCCGGUGUUGCCGUGAGCUGGGGUGUAGGUUGCAGACGUGGCUCGGAUCUGGGGUUGCUGUGUCUCUGGCAUAGGCCAGUGGCUAUAGCUCCAAUUAGACCCCUAGCCUGGGAACCGCCAUAUGCUGCGGGAGCCGCCCAAGAAAUGGCAAGAAGACAAAAACAAACAAAAAUUUUAUUUUCUAUUUAUUUUUAAUUUUUUAUUAUAGUUGAUUUACAGCGUUCUGUCAAUGUCUGCUGUACAGCAGAAUGACCGAGUUAUACAUAUAUAUGCAUUCUUUUUCUCAUAUUAGCUUCCAUCAUGUUCUAUCACAAGCGAUUGGAUUUAAUUCCCUGUGCUGUACAGCAGGACCUCAUUGCUUAUCCAUUCUAAAUGGAAUAGUUUGCAGAUCUAACCCCAAACUCCCAGUUAGUUAUUUAUUUGCUUGUUUGUUUUUGGCUGUGGCACGCAGCAGCUUGAUAGGGGAUCUCAGUUCCCAGACCAGGGAUUGAAUCCCGGCCACACCGGAGAAAGCACCAAGCCCUAACCGCAGGACCACCAGGGAACUCCCUACAUAGAUAUUUUUAAUUCCCCGUGAAACCUUUAAAAUAUUUAUUGCAAACAAUGAUUUAUGUGCAGAAUUCUCCAAGGAUUUAAAAAAAAAAUAGUCAUUUUCUGUCUUUUUGGAGAGAAGCCCUUUGUGUUUAGAGCAUUCUUUGAUCUUCCCCAGAGCCAGGCAGUCCUGGCAGCUGCUAUUCAUAGCUUGCUUGUUUCUGGAGUGUUGCUACGUUGUUAGGUGGUGAUCCACUCUUUCCCUCCGUCUCGUGGUUCUUUUUCUUUAGGGGAAGGGAUUAUGUGACUUUUAACAGGACAGGAUUAAUGCAUGCUUUUAUGUCCAGAUUUCCUCACCCAGGAAAAGCAACUCCUUCAGGUCUCCAGGAUCAGGCUUAUGUGACCAGGGAAGAGAUGGAGCUGGAAGUAAUUAGAUGCAUUUAGCCCUGGCACCAGGCUGGUAGUUGCUUCCACGGCUGCAGGAGGGACCCGCAAGGAGGCACCAGAGAUGCUAUAAAGCCCUACUCUGGGGACUAGGUAGAUGCCACAAUAGUGGUGACCAGAUCAUUUCCCUCUGAUAAUGGAGAUUUUAUCAUUUAGAGAUGGCAAGUUAAGAUACUUUUAUUGAAUGAACUUCCUGCUAAGUUUCUGAGCCCUAGUUAGGUUUAUGACAUAAUUGCUGUACAUGUUGAUACCAUCUUUUAUCGUAAUUGUUUUCCAUUGUUUUUAAUAAAGGGAUAAAAAUAAUAGGAGACAUUUUAGAAAGUGGGGUUUUUUUGGUUCUAUUAUUCCUGAUACUAAAAAUUACCCAAAAUAAGAUAUUUCACAAAAAAGGAUUUCGUUCCAAAAGUGACUAAUUUAAAUCAGUUUAUACAAUGAACUUGCUAAUGAUCCUCAGUCUAGAGGAGUGCAGUGCUUUUAUACUGUUAUCAUUUUUUUAUGAAUAGAAUUAUACAAAAAGUUCCUAUUGUGUUGUACAGUGAGUUUCUCACAACCAUUCUUUAUCAACAGAUGGCAACCAGCACAUGAAAAAUAAUUAAAAAAUAAAAUGAAAAGAAACCGAGAAUGAAUUAAAGUGCUUCUUUGCGUUCUGAUCUGCAUUUUUGGUUUAGAAUUUUUAUGGUGAAUUGCCAUAUUAUCUGUUAUAUCAGUUUACAAUGAGGCUCCUAUCAGACAUAAAACAGAUUUAUAAUACCAUUAAAAUACAAUAUCAAAGAAUGAAUAAGCAAUUCAAUAAAAUUACAAUAACACAAAGAUAAAAUGAAAGCCUUUUCAAUAACAGUUUUAUGCAAGAACAUUUUGCAGAUAAAUAUGUGUUUAUAGAUCUUUUAAAUGUACAUUUAUUAUACUGUUCCUAAUAGAGCCACAGGGGUUAAUUUUUCCUGUGUGUUGUCUUUUAUAAGUGGUUUAAAAGCUAGCUGCAAAACUCUUCAAUAGAUUGUUUUGAAUCUUUGAAUUGAUUUUGGUAAAGGGAGCUUUUAUAGUCCUGCAGCCGAAUGUUCACCCACAGACCAGUCAAUGGGGCUGGGUCCCUUUGCCAGGGAGGGCUGGGACCACCUGGGACCCGGACAGGAGAGAGAUGCAGGAGCGGGCAAAGUUUAUAAAUGAAGUUGGAUUUGCGGUUUUCCCACCCCGGAUGUUCAGGUCUGAUUUCCGGAAGGAAAGUUAAAGAAAAAAAAAUAAAAGAGAGAGAGAGUGUGUGAGAAGAGAAAAAGCCAAGGUUAAUAAGUCAGCCUGAUCGGGAGUAACAGGCCGGGGAGGGUCCUCUAGGCUCUGGCUGCUGGGUCCCUGGUCACUGGGCAGGCAGGGGAGAGGCUGCCGGUGCCCAGAGGCACGCUCAGCCCUGGGUGUCCCUUUGCUCUCCCCACACCUGGCUUGUGCUUCGGUCUUCGUUAGCAUCCUGUUUACUUCCUUUGUCUUAAUUUUAGCAGGGAGCUCCCAGGCCAUCCGUGAUCCUUGGCAUGCUCGGCCAGGAGGGUAACCCUCCGUGUUGCAGGGGAUCUGGAAAAAAGGAUCAGGAGACAUAUCAGGCGGGUCUGAAUCCCCAGCGGGACCUGGGGAACGGGGUGAAGCACGAGUUCCCCAGCUCUUGGGGUCUCUCCAUCCGCAGCCUCUACCCUUAAGGAUCCCAUCUUCCGGCGGGGCUGCCGUGGGUCACGCCCAGGCCCUGGUAUGGUCGGGCUGGAGCAGCUGCCCUAGGCGGGAGAGCUGGGGUUUCUGCCUCACCCUGGGCAGCUGGCCUGCUUGGGCUCCGGCUGGGGCCAGGGGGAUGCCCGGGGAGGUAGAAGGGAAGCCGAUAUAAAAGAAAAGAAAAGAAAAGGAAAGAUAACACAGAUUGGAUUUUGUCGAUGGGUGAAACAAAACCCUGAGAAGAGAAUUUUGACCAGAGAGAAAAGUCCCCGAGACUAAAUUUAAACUCCUGUGGUCCUUUCUUUGUUGUAAUUCCUCUGCAAAACACUGGCAUCGCCUUCUUCCAGAAUGAUAGAAGGUGCCAGGCCCUUAUAGAUUGCUUAAUAUACUGUAGGUGAUAUUGGUUGCGGUGGAAAAUGAAAGCAAGCAGAGAAUAUUUGGCUGGAGCAUAUGUGACUCAAAUAAUUGAGAAAUAAAACGGGAAAACGACCAGAAAGACUCUUCAGUGACACAGCUUACAGUAUCUGAGCUUGGGGGAGGGCGGGGGGGGGGACCUCUCUCGUGCUCUCUCUCCCCUUCCCCCCCUUUUCCACAUGGAGGGAAAAAGCAGACCCUUUGCCCUUUCCUCUCCCCUCCCCCCCACGAACAUUUAGGAUUUUUGCCUUUUUACUUUCUUAUUUCCUCUUCUGUUCCAGAAAAUUUUAGUACACGACACAGCGGCGGCUGCAAAUAGCACUAUUUCCCCCAGCCCAGGCUGUUUGAUUGCACGAGGCUUGAUUGCAUCGUUAGUCCUGAAGUGCUGUGCUCACUGAAACACGCCAGCAUCUUGGACAUUAAAGUGGCAUCCUGGUGUGUGCGAGGAGAGGCCUCACACACACCACUUCAUCUUGCAAACCUGCCUUUUCCCCAGAGUCUCUGAGCAGCAUUAGGUAAACAAUUACAGGAGGUGACUUCGGAGGUGCCGUCGUCCCCUUUAAUUCAUGCAUCCACGCCUUCUAGUGUUACUGCUGCAGGAAGCAUAAUGGAGUUCUCACAAACAGGCAUUUGGAGAUUUAGGCAGAUUUUCCCCUAGAAAAUGGGAAAGGCAUUUUAAGUAGCGGGGAACUCCUGCCUCCUCCGGAAAACACAGCUGUGCGCGGCUUCAGCCCUGAAGACUUUGAAAUCCCCUGCAUCCUGGACUUUUUGGGGCUCCAGACCUUUUCCGUGGGCAUGGAUAUUUAUUUUCUUCUCCUUACCGACCCACCCGAGGUGGAAGUCUAAUUUUAUAUCCCAGUAAUUAUUACACCUUGCCACUCUCUCCUAAGUUGCCACUUGAUUAGUGCUGAAUGGGUAAAAGUGACAAAACCCUUCUCUAUGGGAAAAAAAAAAAAAAAA